UACUAUUCUAGAUUGUCUUGUGAUAUUUACAAUCUAGGAGAAGGCAGGAGAGAGAACUAAGAACAGAGAGCAUGUUCUGAGAUGUCUGCUGUGCUUGCAGGGAUAUCCAGUAACUGACUGAUCAGCUGGUGGUGGGCUCUGCUGGCUGCCAUGAUGGGCCACCAGCAAGAAGGGAAAAUUGGUUGUGAGUGAGAGAAGCAGAGAUAAGGAAGUCCACAGGGCUGAUAGGAAAGACCAUGGGCUG
rnacentral:lncRNA from 10 species